CACGUAGGGUGCGAGCGUUGUCCGGAAUUAUUGGGCGUAAAGAGCUCGUAGGCGGUGUGUCACGUCGGCCGUGAAAACCUGCAGCUUAACUGUGGCGUGCGGUCGAUACGGGCAUCACUGGAGUUCGGCAGGGAGACUGGAAUUCCUGGUGUAGCGGUGGAAUGCGCAGAUAUCAGGAGGAACACCGGUGGCGAAGGCGGCGUUCUGGACUGUUACUGACACUGAGGAACGAAAGCCAGGGAGCAAACGGG
rnacentral:rRNA from 1 species